CCUACGGGUGGCUGCAGUGGGGAAUAUUGGACAAUGGGGGCAACCCUGAUCCAGCCAUGCCGCGUGUGUGAAGAAGGCCCUCGGGUUGUAAAGCACUUUCAGUGAGGAAGAACGCCUGGUGGUUAAUACCCAUCAGGAAAGACAUCACUCACAGAAGAAGCACCGGCUAACUCCGUGCCAGCAGCCGCGGUAAUACGGAGGGUGCGAGCGUUAAUCGGAAUUACUGGGCGUAAAGCGCGCGUAGGUGGCUUGAUAAGCCGGUUGUGAAAGCCCCGGGCUCAACCUGGGAACGGCAUCCGGAACUGUCAAGCUAGAGUGCAGGAGAGGAAGGUAGAAUUCCCGGUGUAGCGGUUAAAUGCGUAGAGAUCGGGAGGAAUACCAGUGGCGAAGGCGACCUUCUGGACUGACACUGACACUGAGGUGCGAAAGCGUGGGUAGCAAACAGGAUUAGAUACCCUUGUAGUC
rnacentral:rRNA from 1 species